AUACAAAUUAAAAUACUAUCAAAACAGUAAAUUCUUUUAUUAAAUAAAUUAAUAUUAAAUAUAUUAAAAUUAACACUAAUAAUUCAACCCAACAUAUUAUUAUUAAUUUAUCAUAUCGAAUACGAGGUAAUACACCACGAAUUAUAAUUAAUAAAAUUAAAUGAAAUAAAUAAACUAAAAUAAAACUAAAUGAUCAUCAAUUUAAUCCAAGAAACAUUAUUGUUAAUAAUAAUCUUAUAAAUAUAACAUUUAAAUAUUCAGAUAAAAAAAUUAAUACAAAUAAUCUUCUAUAAUAUUCAACAUUAAAUCGAGAAACUAAUUCUGAUUCGCCUUCAAUCAAAUCAAAUGGAACUCGAUUUAAAUCAAUUAAUGCUCUAAUUAUAAAAAUAAUAUAUAAAGGAUAUAUAAAAAAAUAUAUAUAUAUAUUAUAUUGAAAUUUUAUAAAUAUAAAUAAAGAAUAAUUCUCAAUUAAAAUUAUUAAUAUAAAAAAAUCGAUUAACAUUUAAUUUCUAAAUAUAUAUUGUAAUUUUUUAUUCAACAAAAACAUAAUUAUAUAUUUAACUCUUUUUCUUU